rnacentral:lncRNA from 1 species
CGGGUUACUGGGUAGGGAGAUAAUACACUCUGACAGAGGGACAUCCGUCACCUGUUAGGGUAAGCAUAUCAAGGACGACUCGCUGAGGAAAAAGAGGUGUAUCUAUUACCGGUUAUUGGGUAAGAAUAACCUAUUGGGGAGAAAAAUCAAAUAGGAUUUAUAACUACCGGUUGCUGGCCAGAAGACCGAAAAGAGAGUAUAUGUCACUAGUUAAAGUGAACAUAUUAAGGAUAAACUCAAAGAAAG